AUCUGGAAGCUCGAGAAGACAAUCACCAUCUCGCCAAUCACCGGCGACGCCCUCCAUCUUGUCCUCCCGAUCAUCCUCCGGCCGACGAUGCCUGCUAUUCGGGGUGCCAAUAUGCCAUCUCCAUCAAGGAUCUGUGCUCCUGUAAAGUCUUUCCCUGAUUGGAUCGGCAUAUCGGGAAAGAAGUGGUUGGAGAUGUUGGGGAUCGAUCUGAUGGAUUGGAGGAUGGUUUCAGGCGGAGUAUGGCACCUGAUUGUUAGUUCUCGGAUAAAUCGGGUUUUUUCCUCAAACGAUGGAAUUGGUGGAGCUGAGAGGGUUUUUUGGAGAGGAUUGUGCUAGUUGGCCAUUGCUGGAUUUGAGCAAUUAGUCCAACAAGCUAUUGGAUGUUUUGAAGCCUAUGGAGCUAUGAGGUCAAGACACACAAUGGUUCUUUAUAAUAACUUCAUUGUAGAAGUAGUUCUCGUAAGUUGAAAGUCUUAUCACCAUCAGAUCUGAUCAAAUUCCUAGGAGUAGUAGAAGAAGAUGCAUCAUUAGCUGCAUCAAUAAUGUUGUUUUCACUUCCCAAGAUAUUGUCGUAAUCUUCAGAGUUGAAACACAUAUCGGUUAGUAUUAAAUCAGAAAUAGUUCUUCUAAGUUGAAACACCUAUUGCCAUCAGAUACGAUCGAGUUCAUGCUCCUAGAGUUAGAAGAAGCGAUAGAAGAAGAGGAGGAAGAGGGAGAAGUUUUUCGCCUAUUUGCAUAACCAUAACAACAUUGUGAAUAGCCAUCCAUUAAUGCUUUGCACUGUAGGUCACAAAACUUACAAACCUCUCUUCUAGUCUCGAGGAUAUCUCCCGGCGGUCAAAGGAGUGAUGGAGCUAUAGGGAACUCUUUUUAGAGUGUUUGGUUUGUUUAUAUAGAGAGUAUGUAAGAGGAGCUUUUUAAUUUGGUGUUUAAUGUUGAUUUUUUUUUACUUUGAUUUGGAAUUGAAUAACUAUCUGAUUCAAACUAGGAGUUUGACUGAGUCUUGAGUUUUUUUUUUUACUUUGAUUUGGAAUUGAAUAAUUAUUUGAUCCAAACUAGGAGUUUGCCCGAGUCUUGAGUUUUUUUUCCUUAGGCAAUUGUUUUAGUAAAUUGAUUUGUCAAAGUUCAUGAAUGGAUGGUCACUAUG